AAUGAACGCUGGCGGCGUGCCUAACACAUGCAAGUCGGAUGUGCCGCCAGGUGCAUGGCAGACGGGUGAGUACCGCGUAUGGAAUCUACCUUUUUGUGGGGAAUAACGCUCCGAAAGGAGUGGUAAUACCGCAUGAGACCGUGAGCUGGGAUGUUCACGGUGAAACCUGGGGACCGCAAGGCCUGGGGCAAAAAUAGGAUCCUGCGUCUGAUUAGCUAGUUGGCGGGGUAAUGGCCCACCAAGGCGACGAUCAGUAGCCGGCCUGAGAGGGUGAUCGGCCACACUGGAACUGAGACACGGUCCAGACUCCUACGGGAGGCAGCAGUGGGGAAUUUUGCGCAAUGGACGAAAGUCUGACGCAGCAACGCCGCGUGGGUGAUGAAGGUCUUCGGACUGUAAAACCCUGUCGUCAGGGACGAAGGUGGCAGUGUUAAUAGCGCUGUUACUUGACGGUACCUGGAGAGGAAGCCCCGGCUAACUCUGUG
rnacentral:rRNA from 1 species